rnacentral:rRNA from 1 species
CCUACGGGCGGCAGCAGUGGGGGAUAUUGCACAAUGGGGGGAACCCUGAUGCAGCGACGCCGCGUGGGUGAAGAAGCGCCUCGGCGCGUAAAGCCCUGUCAGCAGGGAAGAAAAUGACGGUACCUGAAGCAGAAGCCCCGGCUAACUACGUGCCAGCAGCCGCGGUAAUACGUAGGGGGCAAGCGUUAUCCGGAUUGACGGGGUGUAAAGGGGGCGCAAACGGCGAUGCAAGCCAGGAGGGAAAGCCCGGGGCCCAACCCCGGGACUGUUCUGGGCACUGCGUGGCUGGAGUGCAGGAGGGGCAGGCGGAAUUCCUGGGGGAGCGGUGAAAUGCGUAGAUAUCAGGAGGAACCCCGGUGGCGAAGGCGGCCUGCUGGACUGCAACUGACGUUGAGGCCCGAAAGCGUGGGGAGCAAACAGGAUUAGAUACCCGGGUAGUC